rnacentral:rRNA from 1 species
GUGGGGAAUUUUGGACAAUGGGCGCAAGCCUGAUCCAGCGACGCCGCGUGGAGGACGAAGGCCUUCGGGUUGUAAACUCCUUUUGGAGGGGAAGAAUAAAUUGACGGUACCCUCAGAAAAAGCCACGGCUAACUACGUGCCAGCAGCCGCGGUAAUACGUAGGUGGCGAGCGUUACUCGGAAUUACUAGGCGUAAAGCGUAUGUAGGUGGUUAGAUAAGUCUAUGGUGAAAUUUCCUGGCUUAACUGGGAAGGGACAUAGAUACUAUCUGGCUUGAGUGUGGGAGGGGGAGACGGAAUUCCUGGUGUAGCGGUGAAAUGCGUAGAUAUCAGGAGGAACACCGAUGGCGAAAGCAGUCUCCUGGCCCAAUACUGACACUGAGGUACGAAAGCUAGGGUAGCAAACAGGAUUAGAUACCCUGGUAGUCC